UGGGGAAUUUUGGACAAUGGGCGCAAGCCUGAUCCAGCAAUGCCGCGUGAGUGAAGAAGGCCUUCGGGUUGUAAAGCUCUUUUGUCAGGGAAGAAACGGUUCUGGCUAAUACCUGGAGCUAAUGACGGUACCUGAAGAAUAAGCACCGGCUAACUACGUGCCAGCAGCCGCGGUAAUACGUAGGGUGCGAGCGUUAAUCGGAAUUACUGGGCGUAAAGCGUGCGCAGGCGGUUUUGUAAGUCUGACGUGAAAUCCCCGGGCUUAACCUGGGAAUUGCGUUGGAGACUGCAAGGCUGGAGUCUGGCAGAGGGGGGUAGAAUUCCACGUGUAGCAGUGAAAUGCGUAGAGAUGUGGAGGAACACCGAUGGCGAAGGCAGCCCCCUGGGUCAAGACUGACGCUCAUGCACGAAAGCGUGGGGAGCAAACA
rnacentral:rRNA from 1 species